CCCCUCUCAGGAUGGCAACCUGGAGGGUUUUCAGUACUCUACCAGCCUCGACUACAGGAGGGAGAGUCAAGCAGAGGCAUAGCCAUUCCAUUCCUAGCUUGGCCGGUGGCUAGCGAGUGGAAGGUAAUCUACUACAAGU